CUAUCCUUAUAUGGUGUUGUUUACAAAUUUCGUGCAAACUAAAUUUAGACCGUGCAAACUAAAUUUAGACGAUUUAUACUGUUUUUCGAAAUAUAAGAUAUUCAAGCAAAAGUUUAAAUGUUUUAAAUACUGUUUUCUCAAAACAGAACAUUUCGUGCUUUGUGAUAAGAUGACCAAGACCAAUUUGAUCAGUUAAUGUGUUUUUUAUGCAUAGUUCAGCAGUUGACAUAUAUAGAGCUCAGCGGAAACGUAUAAAUUAUAGCAUCUGACCCUGA
rnacentral:lncRNA from 1 species